rnacentral:rRNA from 1 species
GUCCUCUUGUUUUAUAUACGAGGUCUGACCUGCCCAGUGAAAAUUAUUUUAACGGCCGCGGUAUUUUGACCGUGCAAAGGUAGCAUAAUCAUUAGUCUUUUAAUAGGAGGCUGGAAUGAAGGGUUUGACGAGGUAUUGACUGUCUCAUUUAAUUUGAAAUUAAAAUUUAACUUUUCAGUUAAAAGGCUGAAAUUGUAUUGGAAGACGAGAAGACCCUAUAGAGCUUUAUAUUUAAAAUUAAUAAUAAAUUUUUGUUUAUUAUUAUUUCUUAUUAUUUUAAUUAUUUUGUUGGGGUGACAAAAAUAUAUAAAUAACUUUUUUAUUUAAAUAACAUUGAUUUAUGAUUAUUAGAUCCAGUCUUAUUGAUUGUUAGAUUAAGUUACCUUAGGGAUAACAGCGUAAUCUUCCUUCAGAGUUCAUAUUUACAGGAAGGAUUGCGACCUCGAUGUUGGAUUAAGAUAAUAGUUAGGUGUAGCCGCUUAAUGUAUAGGUCUGUUCGACCUUUAAAUUCUU